CCAAAUUUAGACAACUCUGCAACUUUAGCUCUCUGUUGACCAGGAUAUCCAGCAAAAAUAACAAGGCCAUCGGAAGCCACCCUUGCCAAUUCUGGAAGAGUCCUGUUCAGGUAUUUUGGAGAAAGGUAAUCAAGAGCAUCUGAUGCAAUAACCAGAGAAAAAGACUUGGACCUGUAGGGCAGAGGGAACUUAAUAUCAGCUACACGAACAAUGCCCUUGUGAAUAGCAUUCUUGCACUUUGCAUCUGCAUCCUCUAUAUCAUAUGGCUCAACACCCCAUGCUUCAGUUUCUUCUUCUUUCAAUAGUUGAAAGACCACUGAACAAGUAUCGGGGCCCACAUGCAAGACUUUGUGCAUGCUGUCACCAUAUGCUUUCUUUAGAAUGGGUAUUGCUCUCUGAACUUCUAAUG
rnacentral:misc_RNA from 1 species